CCCACAAGCCUCCGUGGACCCCACAUUCUCAGCUUCCUUUCUCUUUCUAUUUGCGAAUCGCGUUUGUGGUUGGCUUCUGUACUCUAUCUAUAAUAUCUCUAUGGUUUGAGCCCACAAGUAGUGUCCUCAGUGCGGUCCCGCCUGAUUUUGAACAUGCUUAUUCGUCUGAUUCGCCUGGAACAUGGAUGUUGAAUAUGUGAAUUGAACAUAUAUAUAAAUAGCAGAGCACAUAGAGAAGAAAUCGAAAGAUAAUCGCUAGGUUACUUACCAAAGGGUUUAGUUUGAAAAGAUUAUAUAUAUGCUGAAUAAUUUAGAAAACAAAUGCACAAUGAAGAUGUGAACGUACAACACAAAGGUAUACCGUUAAUAGACGUAGUUUAUUCUCUCACUGCUUUACACGUACAAUUGUAAGACCGUUUUUAAUUUUUACAGGAGCAUAUGCAGAGGAUUCAGUUAUGGGAAGGAGCAAUAAUGAAUCAAGACUUGAGCAUAUGCAGAGGAU